UGGCUGUAAUAGGUGGAUCUGCCCAGCAGCCUCCAGACCACUGUUUGAAGUCUUCACUGCUCUCAGACAGAACCACCUCCUCCACAACAGCUGCAGGAUUUUGAAGCUCAACUUCUAUCUCGCUGUUAUUUGAUGGAAUUAUCUUCUUUUGUGGAGACAAGAACUUGCUCGGUAGACCAGACUGGUCUUGAACUCCCAAUGCCUUUGCCUCCCCAGUGGUAGGAUUAUAGGUCUGUGUCACCACUCCUGGCAAUUGGAAGUCUGACUUGAUCUUAAGUUCUCUUUCCUCUUUCCCUUUUUAAUCUCAUCCACACCAGGCUUGAAUUGCUACCCUUUUGGACAUGACUUGUUCGUUUUCCUACUAUCUUUAGAUCUCUGGGCUCCAAGAAUCCCUAGAAUAGUUUAUGGGUGAUCAGAACACCUCAAGUCCCUGACUGAUUCUAUUUUCUCUACUCCAUCUUUCCUUUAGUCUGUUGCUUGGUCCAUAUGCUUGGGCAGAAGAAAGGCAUGCCAAUGAGAGUAUGUGGUAGAGGAGGUUUUCACUUCACAGUGAACAAGCGGAGCGGAACAUCAACAGGAUAGAACCGGGGAAAGAUAUAAUCCCAAAGGACAAGCCCUGAGUGACCUAUUCUUUCCAGUUUCCAUUUUCCACCACGCCACCCCCUGCCAACGAUCUCUUAAAAUGUUAAACCUGCCACAGGGUUAAACCAUUCACUAGGUCAGAGCCUCAUGAUCUAAUUGCUUCAGAACACGAUGUGUUUUACUAUUUUUGUGGACAUCCCUUAAUCUAGUCAAAUUGACCCUCAGUGUCAACCAUCACAAUGUCCAUGUGCAGAUAUUUGUGUGCACUUAAGUUUUCCGCUUCUUUGACCAGACAACAAGAGUGCAUUUGUUGGAUUAUAUAGUGCAAGUCUAUCUAGUUUGGGGAGGAGUUAUCAGUGCAUUCCAACAUGGCUGUUGCAUUUUACAUUCCCACCCUCAGGGAAUGGGAGUGCCUGCUGCCCAUAGCCGCGACAUCAUUUGUUCUCAGAAUUCUGGAUUUUAACCAUUCAAACAGGUGUGUGGUUAGUGAACUUUGAGUUAGUCAAACUCUAAUUACAGAAAAGUGCAUGAAUCAUAAUUAUAAAGCUGAGUGACUUUCACAGGCCAAACACAGCCAUAAUAACAAAGAUUCAGAAAAGAAAAUUCAGAGCACUUUGCACACAUAGAAGCCAUUUCAGUCAUGACCUCAGAAGGAGAUCACGGUUAGAUCUACCAUGGAAUUUGCCUGGCCUUGUACCGAAUGGGUGGAAUAAUAUGAAUUUGAGACCAGCCUGGUUACAAAGCGAGUUUUAGGAUGGCCAGACCUGUUACAUAGAGAAACCCUGUCUUGUGCACUGCCACCAAGUUACAAGUUCAACCAUACUUAAUGUGCAAUCAUGAUGCUAAGCACAAUCAUGUCUCAAACUGUCACUGUAGAAACACGGUCAAAGGAUGGAGUCCUUCGAGAAAACCCCAAGUAAACAAGAGCCUUGUGAGUUCAGUUUCUUCAAAACAGAACUGUUCUUGGAAUAUAGUUUCAUGCUCCUCCCAGGUGUAGUGGAUAGGAAUGAGUUUACUUCAGAUUUCUCAUUAUUGCUUGCUGCUGUCAUUCAAUUAGAUGCUUCUAUGCCUCUAUGGAAAAACAUGUUUGCCAAGUGCAGCUUGUUCUUGUUAUUGUAUACUUUACACAUUAUUCUUAAUCCUCAGAAUUGUCUGAUGCUCUGAAUAAAGUUGGCUACUGCAUGGGA